rnacentral:rRNA from 1 species
AAAAGCUCAAGUUGAGAAGCCUUGUUACUUGUGACAAGGCGUUGUAAACUGAUGAGCUUGGCCAGCAUGGACCUGGGGGCAAGUCGUUUUGGAAUUGCGCGUCGUAGAGGGUUAGAACCCCGUACACACCCCAGAGUUCCGUGCGGACGGUCGAGUUUCGAAGAGUCGUGUUGUUUGGGAUUGCAGCACUAAGCGGGAGGU